rnacentral:rRNA from 1 species
CUACGGGGGGCUGCAGUAAGGAAUAUUGCACAGUGGGGGAAACCCUGAUGCAGCAACGCCGCGUGGACGAAGAAGGCCUUCGGGUCGUAAAGUCCUUUUCUGAGGGAAGAGGAAGGACGGUACCUCAGGAAUAAGUCUCGGCUAACUACGUGCCAGCAGCCGCGGUAAAACGUAGGAGGCGAGCGUUAUCCGGAUUCACUGGGCGUAAAGGGCAAGUAGGCGGUUGUUUAAGUUAGGUGUGACAUCUCUCGGCUUAACUGGGAGGGAGCGCUUAAAACUAGGCAACUAGAGGGCGGAAGAAGGGGGUAGAACUCCAAAUGUAGCGGUGGAAUGCUCAGAUAUUUGGAAGAAUACCAGUGGCGAAGGCGACCCCCCGGUCCGUGCCUGACGCUGAGAGGCGAAAGCUAGGGUAGCGAACGGGAUUAGAUACCCCAGUAGUC